rnacentral:misc_RNA from 1 species
GAUGAAGAACGCAGCGAAAUGCGAUACGUAAUGUGAAUUGCAAAUUCAGUGAAUCAUCGAGUCUUUGAACGUACAUUGCGCCCCCUGGUAUUCCGGGGGGCAUGCCUGUCCGAGCGUCAUUGCUGCCCUCAAGCACGGCUUGUGUGUUGGGCCCCGUCCUCCGAUCCCGGGGGACGGGCCCGAAAGGCAGCGGCGGCACCGCGUCCGGUCCUCGAGCGUAUGGGGCUUUGCCACCCGCUCUGUAGGCCCGGCCGGCGCUUGCCGAUCAACCCAAAUUUUUAUCCAGGUUGACCUCGGAUCAGGUAGGGAUACCCGCUGAACUUAAGCAUAUCAAUAAGCGGAGGA